rnacentral:rRNA from 1 species
GGGAGGGUGCCAAUGUCCGCUUGUUCGCGAGUGCAGCGGCGCCCUUCCAUCCUUCUGUUAACGUUUCUUGGUAUUCAGUUACUGGUUUCGGGCUCAGAUAUUUUACCUUGAGAAAAUUAGAGUGUUUCAGGCAGGCUUGCGCCGGAAUACAUUAGCAUGGAAUAAUAGAAUAGGACUUUAGUCUCCUUUGUUGGUUUGAGGGACUGAAGUA